rnacentral:rRNA from 1 species
GACGAACGCUGGCGGCGUGCUUAACACAUGCAAGUCGAGCGGUAAGGCCCUUUCGGGGGUACGACGAGCGGCGAACGGGUGAGUAACACGUGGGUGACCUGCCCUCAGCUCUGGGAUAAGCCUGGGAAACCGGGUCUAAUACUGGAUAUGACUCCAUGACGCAUGUUGUGGGGUGGAAANCCUUGUGCGGCUGAGGAUGGGCCCGCGGCCUAUCAGC